rnacentral:rRNA from 1 species
AUCCUGGCUCAGGAUGAACGCUGGCGGCGUGCCUAACACAUGCAAGUCGAACGGAAGAUAAGCGCUUCGGAGACUUCGGUCAAUGUUUGCUUAACUUAGUGGCGGACGGGUGAGUAACGCGUGGAUAACCUGCCUCAUACAGGGGGAUAACAGUUAGAAAUGACUGCUAAUACCGCAUAAGCGCACGGAAUCGCAUGUUUCUGUGUGAAAAACUGAGGUGGUAUGAGAUGGAUCCGCGUCUGAUUAGCUAGUUGCGGGGUAACAGCCCACCAAGGCGACGAUCAGUAGCCGGCCUGAGAGGGUGAACGGCCACAUUGGGACUGAGACACGGCCCAAACUCCUACGGGAGGCAGCAGUGGGGGAUAUUGCACAAUGGGGGAAACCCUGAUGCAGCGAACCGCCGCGUGAGUGAAGAAGUAUUUCGGUAUGUAAAGCUCUAUCAGCAGGGAAGAUAAUGACGGUACCUGACUAAGAAGCACCGGCUAAAUACGUGCCAGCAGCCGC